GAGUCUGGACAGCACACAGCAUGCACCAAGAUGGCAAAGCCUCAGGCUGUGCACCUGAACUAAAGGAGAGCCCUGCAGAAAUAACGUCCGCUUGGUCAUGAAGCCCCAUGGCCGUGACCUUGACCCUAAAUGCAGUGGGGACUCCCUUUAAGGCCCCAGGGGCCCAGAAACAGCUAGCAUGGCGCUUCCACCCUGGUGCCAGGGGAGCCGCACUACACAGGCUGCCAUUGCGUGGCACCGUGAUAAUGGUGCAGGCACCAGGGCCACACUUACUGGACGGUCCCAUGCCUCAGGCCUCUAAAGAGCUCCCUCUCCCCAAGAAGAUGGAGCAUGGUGACUUCCACCCUUACAGGGCUGUCACUUGCAGGGGACACAGAAAGGUACAGCAUGGCAAAAGGCCAAGUGAGCACAGACCAUGGCUCUUGUUCCAGGGAGGCCAUGCUGCUCUAGGCAAAAUGGGUGCUCAGGAGCCGCAGGGAAUACUUACCUGCAUCGUGGGCCCUACCUGCAGAGAGGUGCCAGCAUCCAGGGUCCCUUGCCUUUUCCUCCCUCUUGGGUGACUUGCAGCUUUGUUGUUGUUCGUGCUUGGUUUUUUUUUUCACAGUGUCUUUUUUUCUUAUGUUUUUCAUCUUUCACAAUGUUGUCUGUAGUUUUUUUCAGAAGUAAGAUUUUUUUCACUUUAUCACAGCAUGUUACUUGUAACUGGAGUACUCAUGGACAGCUUCCUAGAGUGACACCAUUCACAAGAAAUCAUUUACUAUUUGGUGUAGUCCACAAAUCUAAAAAGAAAUAUUUUUUAAAUCUUAGUCUUUUUGUAAUUCUUUAGCUAGAUGAAACAGGAGAUGCUGAGGUCACAAUUUUUUUCAAAGAUUUCCUAAAUGUCUGAAUUGUACAGACAUCACACAGUCAGAGGGAUAAGGCAACAGAAGAUACUUUCCUGUAAAGUCAGAAACAGUUUUUGAACAGGUUAAAGAUUCUGCAGAUACAGAUCAGUUGGACGCUUGACUUGCAGAAACCACUGCAUACUGACCAAAUACGUUCCUUCUAUACUGAUAGUAAUUAAGUCUCUGGACUGACUCAAACAGCUACAGGCUACGGUGACUUGCGUACUUCAAACCUACUUUACUGAGUCCAACAGUGUUAGCCUGAUUUAGACUAGCUGAGGAUCUGCCUCUACGUUAUAUGUUUUGGGGAUUCUGUUCAUAGUCUUACCAGAAUUAUCCUAUUAUCCCUUAAUCUAAAAAUCACUAGUAAGCAAAAGACAAGCAUUCAGAGUAAAUACCUGUUUUCAUUUUCAUAUUAAUGUUGUAAUAGUUUCACAGUAGGCAAUGCAAUAUCAUUACGACCUAUCUUUGGGCAGAUUCACUCCCUUUGUGAGUCAAACGCGUUCUUGAACCAUUAAACGUGUGCUGUGUUCAUUUCUUUUUAUUACUCUCUCUUACUUUAUGAAUGUCAGCUCCAAGGUGGUAGAAGGAUCAUUAGUUAUACAUUUAAUUUUCACAUCUGGCAACUCAUGGCAAGAUGAAGGACAAAACAGUAACACGGGGUGACAGAAACCAGUAAAGAUAUACAAUACCAUUGCCAUUCUAAUAAUUCUGUGCAGAAUUGACCACAGGAAGGACUGAUGUGAAACCUGUAGAAGACCAUUGGGCCAAAUUUACUCUGCGUUUAAAUUCACUCAAUUAAAUCAUUACUUGUCUUAAUGUU